UUAUAAAAUUAGUUCUUCUCUUUCAAAAUUUCGUGUGUGUGUUUUCCUUAAACCAACUGAGUUUUAAUAUAUCUGUUCAGUGUCCUAUUUUGUGGACUUCACAUAUAUCAUUUUUCAGGUAUGGGAACCAAACUACAAUGUACCAAUAGAUAAUGUGUCAACAUAGUGGAGAUAAUCCUAGUGGUUCUUCAACAAUAGUUAGACACAGCAAAACCAUAGAUGACUUUAGCAAUUCGGGGAAGCCGAAAAGAUCAGAGUCAAUAUGUGGGCGCUAGCUUUACAGAAGUUGUGGGUACAAUUUAUUUCCAUGAACUAACAAGAGUGGAGUUACUUUGUUGGAUUGCAUGUGGCAGCCAAUGAGUUCAUGAGGAAAAUCUAAAAAAGACUUGUAAGGAUGUCACUGCAGCUUCACUAUUUAAUAAAUGAUUUUUCAUAACACUGGGUUUUAUUUUCGCUGGUAGAUCCACUUACGAAAAUACCUCUAUUUUUGCAAGCAGGGCUCUUAAUUAAGACCCCGCUUGUAAAAAUCAACUUUUUAGGCACGACCUGCAAAAAUUGUGGGAGGACGUAAAAGGACAGACGUGUGGACCAACCAAAGAGGUGAAGCAUCUUUUCCCCCUCCCUCAGCUCUCCCCUGUGGCACUGUGAAAGUAGAUUAAAACUGCCUAAACAGCUUAGAAGAGUUCUCUACACGUACCAUCACAGUACUGGGUCUUCUCAAUCUGGAAGGAAAGAAGUACUAAUUAACAAUGUCUACAUCACAACCUUCUCCCUUGGCACCAGGAUGCUACAGGCCUAGAUCAAUGGCGGAAGAGGCGGCACUCUGGAGUGCAGCUGGUGCCGCGCUGCUCCAGCUUACGCCAGCUUAAUGUCGCUAGGUUAGCUGCCUAAUGUCGCUAGAUUAGGCUUAUGUCCUCCUGGGUUCUGCCUCCUUUUUGUUUUUGGUUGUACCAAACUUUAUUCAUCUUAAUGCAGUGACACGCAUUACUUAGGUUCAAGUGGUCAGAAAUUCAGUUUUUUCCACAUCUAUUUCUUUGACCAAACAAAGUAGAGAACUACAUGUUUCUUCCCAUACAUCUACAUUUUCAGGGAUAUGAAAUAGAACAGCCAGCACUACCAAAUUAACUGAGCUGGCUAUUCACAAAGCGAGAGACUCUAGCACAUCUCCCUUGCAGUGUCUGAUCACCAUCUUCCUUAUAUAAACUUCCAAAAUGAAACAUGAGAAAGAACUGUGGACACUAGCUAGACAGAAGGCAAAGGAUAGAAAAAAAAUGAAAGAACGAUUGUGACUUUGGGCAAUAAAUCCAUCUGAAUAUUGGUAGCAUAUUUUAGAGUAUAUCUAGUUUCCCACAAAGUGUUGGGUUCUGAAAGUAUAUGUGCUAAUGUGCAUGGGGAUGGGAAGCAUCAGCAUAAACAAGGCCAGAGAAGCCAAGAGUGAUGGGAUAUAAUAUGGAGGAGCCAGCACUGGUUUGGAGACAGUGAUGAUUAUUCGCAAACUGAGGCUAAGGCAUGUCACUGAACAUGGUGGUUUAUCGAGGAAAUCCCGUGACAUUUUUAUUUUCUCCCUGUUCCUCUCCUCGUCUAAAUUGAGUUGGAAAAGAGUAAAACGGAGCACGUUUUUAACUAAUACAAAAAAAUGGUUACGUGAAAACAUCAUUUUACUGAUGGCGUAUUAGUAAACUGUAAUAUAUCAUUUUUUUUUCAAAAAUGCUUGAUUGGUUGGAUUUGCAUACAUGAUUGAUUACCUAUUUAUUGCAUCUAUCUGUGUACUACUUGUGUAUUAAAUUGGGGUUCACAAACAGUUAAAUCACCGUAGAAACAAUGGAAUGUACUGUAGCAAUUAAUAUUGUCCAUCCAAAUUUGAUCUAACGGCUAUAAAUAGCUUAUGGCAUGGACCACUGUAGUUCUCUACCAUUCCAAUUAGAAUGACAGAGGAUACGAUUCCAUUAAAUUGGUGAUUUUGGCAUUAUUCCUUCAUGAGUUCUGGCGCCUAAACUAGAGGAGUAAUAUGGUGGUUUUGAAGGGGAAAAGUCAUGAUACCGUAUUUCUAUUUGGACUAAUUGUGAUUAAAUAACAGAAUGAGUAUAUAUAUGUAGCCUAGGGCAUCAUAACUAGCCGAGGAAAAGAAAAAAAAAAGACAGACCAAACCAAUUUGGUUUGGGUCUAGGUUUUAUAGCAUAGCACAAAUGACUAGGGCCAAGUUUAGUUCCAAAUUUUUUCUUUAAACUUUCAACUUUUCCAUCACAUUAAAACUUUCCUACACACACAAACUUCCAAUUUUUCUAUCACAUCGUUCCAAUUUUAACUAAACUUUUAAUUUUAGCGUGAACUAAACACACUCUAGAAGUAGCUAGAUAGCAAGUAGCACUGGAAAAUAGACUGCACUUUUCCUUCGGUUUUGCUGCCUCAACUCCUGUACGUGUCCAUGAGAAUUGGAGGCAUCAAGAACAAGAAAUCCAAAUCAUGUAGCCUAAAUUGUAUGAGAACCAUAUUAGAAUGAACUCAUACAGCACUUCGCAGCACAACAUUCCAUAAGCCUCCUACUGCUUCUUUGCUUCAAAGCCUUCAACCGUACUCUGACAACGAAACCGUAGAUGGACCCGAGUCCAGACAUGGCCCAAGGUCUGGAACAGUUGAGUUUAUUGCAGACCAGGGUGGUUCUCUCCGUUUCAGAGGAGCUAAUCUGAUUGUUUGGUUUUACUAAUACAUGGAGUAGAACAAGCCGAACAAUUGUGUAUCAGAAAAUGGCAGGGUUGGCAUGCAUGAGAAAGCAUAAAAACUACUGUAGAUGUAUGUAUCUCCUAUCGGAGUUUCGUUGUUUUGAGUAAAAAUUUUGAUAUUCUCAAAUAUAUAGUAGAAACUGCAAAAACAUCCGAAUGAUAUGUAGAACAGAAGCUGAUAUCACUUAAUUAGUUCAUGAUCUAUAUUAUAU